rnacentral:lncRNA from 1 species
CAGGUCCGGGAACCUUGGGCAUUUGACAUCCAAGACCUUCUUUUUGCCUUCCCUGAGGUCGGCUGUCACCUUCCGGCCUCCCCCACCGCUGCCCCUGUCGCCUCCUGCUGCAGCUCAGCCUGUCUGCCAUUUCACUCAUUCGCUUAAACCCACGACCUCCCGGGUCAUAAGGAAGAGGAUUUACCAAAGAAGUGGGCAAGCAGAAAUGAGGACCUCUUAAAGGAGCUAGCUGUGUUUAAGAAAAUUGAAAUUUGAAAGAUUCAGCUUGGCAAGGAUGCCCAUCACUUCUCUUUCUUCAGAGCUGUGUAAUUCUGGGAGCAUUUGGCUGUGGUGUGCUCAUACAUUUGGCCGGUGCAAAAUGACCAGGCACUUCAGCAUUCUGAAUGUCAAUGCCGGAAGUCUAUGACUGAGUUCACUAGGUUCCCUCAGUUUACAUGAAGGCAAGCCUUCCCGCCAACCAGAAAAGGUCCUCAGAGAAAUGGGAGUUGAGAGCUUUCACCAAAGAAAGUAAAAUCUCUAGGGAGAGAAACGCACUAGACUGACUGGCAAGAAGUUCAUAGAAACUGCUUCUGAUCCAUUUAAAGGACUCUCUGGGGACCCUCACCUAGGCCAGAGGAUAGAGAGGCAGUCCAGAGGACCAAGCCCCUCCCAGCUAUCCAAACCUAAAGGUCUUUGACUUUCAGGAAAGGUGGUAGAGUCCACUAAGGAUGUAAGAGAGCCUGGACAGGAGGAGGCUCUGCCUGAGAGGUUUCAUUUCACCUUGUCACUCUGGGGAACUUAAAAAAUAAAUAAAAGAAGUUAACAUUGCCCCCUUGUACU